rnacentral:tRNA from 1 species
UCCCUAGUGGUCUAGUGGUUAAGAUUCCAUGCUUCUAAUGCAGGGGGCACAGGUUCAAUUCCUGGCUGGGGAA